rnacentral:rRNA from 1 species
UACGGAGGGGGCCAGCGUUGUUCGGAAUCAUUGGGCGUAAAGGGCGCGUAGGCGGCCAAUCAAGUCCGACGUGAAAUUCCCCGGCUCAACCGGGGGCCUGCGUCGGAUACUGCUUGGCUUGAGUCCCGGAGAGGGUAGUGGAAUUCCCAGUGUAGCGGUGAAAUGGCGUAGAUAUCAGGAGGAACACCUGCGGUGUAGACGGCUUACUGGACCAUGACUGACGCUGAGGCACGAAAGCGUGGGGAGCAAACAGG